rnacentral:lncRNA from 1 species
AUGAAUUGUAAAUGUGUCUGUGGCUGUGAUGCCUUGUCGGCCGCCUUCUGUGGGGCUCCACGCCUUUCACCAGUGAGCACGGUGCCCGCGGAGCAUCCCCCACAGCGCAUUCUGCUCGGAAUGUGCAGAAGUUCUCGCAUCUAUGGCUUGAUGACGUCCUGCAGCAGUUUUAGGAAAGUGGGUCGUCAUCUGCUGACUCAGUGCGUUUCUGUGAUUUCUGGCCCUACCCCUCGGGGAGCCCUGCUCUUCCCUCUUCUCUCCCUGCUGCAGGCCGGACACCCUCUGCAGACCUGCGGUCCCCCCGGUGGGUCUUCCUUCCGCGGGGCAUCACCCACGGGCUGUGUCUCCAUUGGCUUGUUUCCCGGUGACUUCGGGCGGAGCGGCCUCGGCUCUUUACCUGCAAGGUGUUCUUCCGCCUUGACGCUGCAGCUUGCGCGGGAGCGUGAGCACCGCCACCCUCCCCGGGCCUUGUCCCCUCCGCCUCGCCUUCUGGGGCUCCCAGGCCGCGCUGCGCCUCCGGGCCGCGCCUCCGCCGCCUGCUCCCCCAAGGUCUUCGCGCGCACUUGGCCGGCCCGGGACCCCACGGGGGGAGGGGAGAGCUGCGGGACGCCCGCACCUCGCGGUGCCUGCCCCUCCCCGCCGCCUGCGCCCCAGCCCUUGCUUCCCUCUCCAGGGCUUCCAAACAGAACUUGUUCUUGGCAUCCCUACCCCUCCGGCCCCCAGAUAGCCUGUUUAUUCUUGGCAGGAACCCUGGGGCGCCACAAGCUACCUUAUGGUAGCUAGAGGGGAAGCCUGCUGCGGGUUUUCAUUAUCUUUUUUUGGGGGGGGGGCAGGAUGGGAAUUGGGUUAGGGAAGUUCCUGUUUUGUGGAUCGUCUGAACGGUGUAAAUGACCGCCAAUUUUAUAAAACAGUUUUUCUGAAUCCGUUGAGGAGAUCGCACAGCUUCUGUUCUUUAAUCUGUUAAUUGAUAGGUUACCUGAUUAGAUAAUCUCAUGCUGAACCGUUUUACAUUCUUUUUUUUUUUAAUUUAUUUUUUAUUGGUGUUCAAUUUACUAACAUACAGAAUAACCCCCAGUGCCCGUCACCCAUUCACCCCCACCCCCUACCCUCCUCCCCUUCCACCACCCCUACCUAGUUCGUUUCCCAGAGUUAGGAGUCUUUACGUUCUGUCUCCCUUUCUGAUAUUUCCCACACAUUUCUUCUCUCUUCCCUUAUAUUCCCUUUCACUAUUAUUUAUAUUCCCCAAAUGAAUGAGAACAUAUAAUGUUUGUCCUUCUCCGACUGACUUACUUCACUCAGCAUAAUACCCUCCAGUUCCAUCCACGUUGAAGCAAAUGGUGGGUAUUUGUCAUUUCUAAUAGCUGAGUAAUAUUCCAUUGUAUACAUAAACCACAUCUUCUUUAUCCAUCAUCUUUCGUUGGACACCGAGGCUCCUUCCACAGUUUGGCUAUCGUGGCCAUUGCUGCUAUAAACAUCGGGGUGCAGGUGUCCCGGCGUUUCAUUGCAUUUGUAUCUUUGGGGUAAAUCCGCAACAGUGCAAUUGCUGGGUCGUAGGGCAGGUAUAUUUUUAACUCUUUGAGGAACCUCCACACAGUUUUCCAGAGUGGCUGCACCAGUUCACAUUCCCACCAACAGUGUAAGAGGGUUCCCUUUUCUCCGCAUCCUCUCCAACAUUUGUGGUUUCCUGCCUUGUUAAUGUUCCCCAUUCUCACUGGUGUGAGGUGGUAUCUCAUUGUGGUUUUGAUUUGUAUUUCCCUGAUGGCAAGUGAUGCAGAGCAUUUUCUCAUAUGCAUGUUGGCCAUGUCUAUGUCUUAACUGAAACCCUGCUUGGUCCUGAUAACGUAUCUCUCUACACUGUUGAUUCGCUAAUAUUUUAUUUGGAAUUUUUGCAUUUAUGAUCAAAAGGAUGAGUGAUGUGUGACGGCUCUAGUGAGGUCAUUCUCUGGCUUCAUUAUGCAUGUUUUGCUGGCCGAAGUGACUCAGACACCCUGCUUGGGUCUUGGCCUGUGUGAGCUUUUUCUGCUCGCUGCCUGGGACAGCAGAGCGUUGCUGGUCUGUCUGUCUCCAGACCUGACUUCCAGCAAGGCUGCUGCUUCAGUCCUGCUCCCAGCUUUACACUGCUGUCCUGCCUCUGGUUCAUAGAGCCGUUUAGCUAAUUUUGAGCUUGAUCGUGUCUUUUUUUUUUGUCUGUUCCGGCGUUUUGAUUUUUGCCCAGUAGAUUUUAUCUAUCAUAUUAAGUGCGUGGCGCUGAGAGGCUUUGUCAGGAACUGUCUCUAGUAUGACAUCUUGACUAGAAGCCUCUGAAAGAUGUUUAUUGAUUGUUUAAUGUUUUCAACUUUUUAUUUGGGAAAUUUUCAAACACAGAGGGAAGUUUUAAGUCUUCUAUAAGGGACACUGACAUAAAGGGACACCUUCCUGCAAUAUUGGAAAGUAGAUUUCAGGCUUUAUGUUACCUAAAUACAUCCAAGAGGGUCUUUUAGAGCUUUGAAAUAACCAACCUUUGAGGGAUCAGGAUAUCAUGAUGCAGCUCCCCCACCUUCCCCUGAUCAUUAGUAUCUAUAACUUUUCUAAAUGCUCACAGGUAGCAAACAUAGCAAAAAGGGAAUUCCUAAAAUCACAGCGAGGUCACCGGUCCCUCUGAUUCCUGCCACUGGAUGUCUUAUUGACAACAGAUUAUGGGCAUGCAUCUCAGUUUCCUUCCCCAGAGACUUUGCAUUUUAUUUAUUUGUAUCUCUUCAGCUAACAAAUACAUAUUUCAAAUUGUUGGAAUGUUUUAUUAAUGUAUUUUCUUAGGCCUGUAUUCUGACCUUAGUAGAACUUCCAUGUCCACUCAUGAAAUGUGUCGAAUAUGGAAUCACACAAAUAUGUAAUUUGCAAAAAUACACUCAGGUAAAACUAUAGUGUUGAGAAGAAGAAGAUUACUUUACUACCAACAAAUUAAAAAUAAUGUUACAUCGAGAUUAUUGGCCAAUGUAUUUUUAAGUUUCCCACAUUAGGUUUUUUUUUUUCUUCUUUAUUUAUGAUAGGCACACAGUGAGAGAGAGAGGCAGAGACAUAGGCAGAGGGAGAAGCAGGCUCCAUGCACCGGGAGCCCGAUGUGGGAUUCGAUCCCAGUCUCCAGGAUUGCGCCCUGGGCCAAAGGCAGGCGCCAAACCACUGCGCCACCCAGGGAUCCCUCUUACAUUAGGUUUUUAUUCAAAAGUGCUUGGUAAAAGGAAAACCUUAUAUUUUUUUUAAAAUUCAAGUUACAAAUGUAUCUGCUUUAUGAUUUAUUUGCAUUUUGAAUAUAUGUUUUGGAAGAGUAGUCGAGUGAAACUUUUAUUUAUAUAAUGUGUAUUUUCUGGUGUUCUGUGUAAUGAGAAGGAAGCGUCUUUGACUUUUGCCUGGGCACUGACCAUCUGCAGACCUAGGUUCAUAGGUGCUAGGAGAUGGCCGAGCCAGAUCAGUAACUCUGGUCCAACCUCAAGUCUUGUUCAGAGGUAGUCAAAAUAAAUAUUUAUUAACUUACAUUACAUAAGUGGGUUCCAGUAGCUGGGCUAGAGUGUCCACUAUGUAUGGUGAAUGGAAAUGUGGAUUGAGACUACUCUUUUUUGGUUAAUUUUCCUUUUUUUUUUAAAUUUUUAUUUAUUUAUGAUAGUCACACAGAGAGAGAGAGAGAGAGAGAGGCAGAGACAUAGGCAGAGGGAGAAGCAGGCUCCAUGCACCGGGAACCUGACGUGGGAUUCGAUCCCAGUUCUCCAGGAUCGCGCCCUGGGCCAAAGGCAGGCGCUAAACCGCUGCGCCACCCAGGGAUCCCUAAUUUUCCUUUUAUGUGUUGGUAUGACAGACUGUGUUCUUGCUGUGUGUCUUCACUCCUUCUAACUCACGGUUCAUCAUGUGAAUUUGUUCUUCCUCCACUAGAAGGCUGAUGUAACCUCCCUGCCCUUGACUUUGGGUUCGUGUGACUUGCUUUUGCCAGUAGAUAAGGUAGAUAUGAUGGUGAGCAGUUAUAAGCCAGCAUUUAGAGGCCUGCGCGCUUUAGUCACUCUCUUGCACCUGUCUUUGCCCUGAGAGCUCACCCAACAUGGCUUGCUAUUCCCAAAAAGAAGAGCUGAAUUGCUCUAGCUGGACCCCUUAUAUCAGCUCACCUCCUAGCUCACCUUCAGAUAUAUGAGCCAAAUAUAUACUUAUUUUGUGCUCCUGAAGUUUGUGGUUAUUUGUUAUGCAGCAUUAUUGUGCCUGUAGGUACCAUUACCAUGUCAGUGGUCAAGGAAGUCUUGAGUCUUACAAAAUGUGGUGCUUAACAAUGACAUAUGCUCGCUCACUCUUUCUUUCUUUCUUUCUUCUUUCUUUUUUUCUGACAAUAUUUAUAUAAAAAUAAUCCAAGAACUAUAAAUAUGGAAGUGUUCCUGUGGCUGGCCUCAGACUUAAAGCUUUUAUUUUACAGAUGAGGAAAUAGCACAAUGAGUUAACAUGGCUGGAGCUAGGGCUGGAAACCUGGCUUCUGGGCUGCCAUUCUAGUGUUUUCUAUUACAUCCAGAUAUGCUUAAAUAAUGAAAAAAGCUGUAAGACCCUACAUUUGUGUGCUGUCUAUGCUAGGUGAAAAGUUAAAUUCCCCUGCUGGGGUUGGUCCAUAUACCAAUGCACUCACAGCAUUUUAUAAGUUUUAGCGCUUAAAUGGUAUCAGAUUCACUCUCUGCUGAUUCACCAGUCCCCAGAUUUUCACUGGAAAUGGUAGGUCUACAGGAAUUCAUGUGUUCAUAGGCACAAGAUGUCACUCUUGUGCUUACUGUGAAGAUAACAUUCUUGUUGAAAUUUUAAUGCCUUUAAUGGUUUGCCUUUUUAGCCCAGAGUGAACUAAUCAGACAGCCUGUGCUGGGACAUAAAUCAUAGCAUAUUCCUGGGGAACUGCAGGUGAAAUGAAUCAAGGAAUUUUUUUUUCAAUCAACUCUUCAAUCAUCCCUUUUAGUCACGUAGAAAAUAUGGUCCAUGCUGUAUUUACAGUUUGAUGGUAAGGAGAUGCUUAACAUCACUGUAGGAGAUUAAAAAUGACAAGUUAUAUGGUGAAGAGUGUGAAAAGGUGUUUACACUGACAUCUAAUAUCUAGGUUGAUCUACAACUCAAUAAUAGAUAUCAUAAAUCUAAUAGCAGGCCCAUGGGAUUGAGCAGUGGAUAAGUUAACAUGGUAGGUCAAUGUGUUCACAUGGCACAUAUCCCACGUGUAUAAAGAUGGUAUUAUUGACCAAUCAUUGGUUGGAUGUGUGCGUGGGCAGGCUGCUAGCAUGCAUGCCUCUCACUCCUCCCAUGACAUUUAAUAUUGCUGAAUUAUGUAAAUAUCAUGCCUGAUAUCCAUUCACCGGUAUGGUCUCUACUUUCAAAUAAUUAAGACAUGUUUUCCUGAUUCAUGUAAAAGAUAAAUAAACCAAAGGAAAACAACAUUUUUAUUUUG